CUCUCCCGCUGAAGCGGGUUCCAAGGCCACCGUGAGGGGGACCAUCCAUCCAGGCUCCGAGUGCUACAGGCAGACCCGAGUCCGAGUCUUCCUACGGUUCAUUGUCCCCCCCUGGAUUUCCUAGGGACUCCAGAUACGAUGGCAUCGAUGUCAGUUAACUUGGCACUUCUUAAAAUAGAUCUAUGAUCAAAUCUUAAGUUUUUCCGAAUAAGACUCUGGAGGAAUGCAGGAAGGUCAUUUGAUUACUUUAAAAUAAGAGGAUUUUAUGUUAAAAUAUUGAAAAAGCCAGUCAUAAAACUAAGCUCUGUACCAAUGAAUAUAGUUCGCGAAGCCAGCAGCACAGGCUUAUUAUUAUAAAUAUCAAACACCACCAUUAUGAGUAAGCUCAUUUAUUUUCAAAGCACUUUGCGAUCAUUAAUUGUUCACGUCUGUGAAUACCCCCUGAGAGACAGUAUUAUUAACUGCAUUUGAAAGGAAGAAAACUAAGGCACAGAAAACCCGUAAUUCAUUGUCCUGAGGGGAAAAGGAGACACCAGGAACACGGCUGUCCUUUCGCUGCAUCUUCUCUUUGGUAGAGAUCCAGGGACAUCUGGAACAUCCACCCUCUUUCUCCCACUCACGGCCAUGCCACCACCUAGUGCCUCACUGACAUUUCCUCUCAAUCUCAGGAUAAUCACAUCGAUGUAACACUUGGCAGGAGAGUACUGGGCAGGCUGCAAAUGUCUGUGUUAAAACAGCUCUGCUGGGCUAAGACAGGACAGAAGCAGACAGCAGGUGGAUGAGACACAAUUUCCUAUCCAGCAGAACCUGCAGCAAGCUCCACAGCACCCUCCAUGGGCUCAGUCUUGCUCCCGGGAAGAUGGUUAAUUCCAUCAGCUCCUUCUGGCCGGCAGCAGGAAGAGUGGCCCUGUGUGUGCCAGGCCCUGCAGUCUCUCCUCUCAGCUGGUGUCUCCAGUGAGGGACCUGAGUCAUCGCACACAUGAGCCUGUGCUCAGCCUGCACAUCUCCCGCCUCCCACCAGCUGCUCCUCAACUGCCAGGGCCAGACUGUGGCAAAAUCUCACUCCUCUGCCGAUGCUGGGGUUUCCCUCGUGUCUGGGAGGUGGUGUGCUUGGUGGCCUGAGCACUGCAGUGAAUCCAUGUUUCCCUCCCAGCACCCUGUUCUGUCCUCCAACUUGGCCGACAGCUCUGGCCAGGGACGCAGCCCAGCUGGUGCCCACCCCGCACUCUGUCCAUUUCAUAAGAGCCCUUGGUUUCCUCACUUCCCUCAGAUUUUGCCAAGAGAAUGGUCCUGGUGUGGCCCAGAAAGGCCAGCGGGGUGCAGCCUGGGACUGAAAGCAGAGGCGGCUCUGGUGGGGAAAAAGUAGCUCUCCCAGCCUAGCCCUACUGGUGGGCGGCACCUCCUGGCUCCAGGCCAUCUUUUGUCCCAGUCCUAGGUAAGAAAAACACAAACAAAAGCCAGUCCCAUGGCACUCGAGAAGCAGGAGGCCGUUCCCUGACAGCAACAUGCUGUGUGCACAGACACACGGGUGGACAGGAGGCAGAGCUCGGGGUUGCUGCGGAGCGGGCAGGACACUGGAGCGGCAGGCAGUGCGGACCCGCCGGGCAGCCGUGCACGGUUGUCGUCCUCAGCGGCAGGAGCCAGUUUGUUGCUCAGGGCCUUGUCUUUUUACAAAGAGCCCCAGGCCCCGGGGGCUUCUCUGGGUGCCUCUUUGCUGCCAUGUCUGCACGCGGGCGGAGAGCAGACCAGGCUACCGACCCUCUCGCUUUGCUGUCUUCACGUGGAAAAGCCAGUGUCGUAGCCCCAAAGGAGGGGAAACUGUAUUGAUUUGGGGAGCCUCUAUGUUGAUUUCAAAACAGAUUGUCUCCUGUGUUCUCAAAGACUGGAAGCGAACCCCACAACCGCCUUAGGCCACAAAAGCUUUAUCCUUUCUAAUUAGCAUCCCUGUGACCUGCUCUGCGCCCUGCAGAUAUUUUGCUCAGCCAGCCAGAAGGAGGGAGGCCAGACACCAGCCCCCACAGACCUGCGGCUGCGACCCCCUGCCUGGGGACGAUGGGGUCGGGGUCCAGUAGCUGCCCCAGAAACAAGUGGGGCUGCAGGAGGCUGAUGGUGAGCUUGGAGGUUGGCAGAAUUCUAAAUCUGGGCACUGCAGGGUCCCCACAGGUCACGACCCUACUCUGCUCCACCCAGGCUCCGGAGGACCUGAGCAGGAACCUCUGCAGGGGGGGCCCGGGGCUCCCUGUCCUCUCAGCAGCCGGCAGUGCUCCCUGACAGCCCGGGCCUCUCCCUCCAGUAGUUCGGUAGUUUGCUGUCACCAACAUGGCUGGGCCUGGGACAGGCUCCUCCUCUCCCUCCAGAAGCCAGGCAGUCCCUCCUGCCUCAGUUUCUCAGACUAGGCCGCCUCUCCCAUCGCGAGACACUGAAGACCCUCAGCUGUUUCCAUCUGCCCAGUCUGACUGCUGGAUCGCCCUCUGUGUGCGUUGGUUUGCUGUGUUCUUGCUACUCGCCCUUGGAUAAGAUUUCUUCUCUACUCAUGAAGCUGCGUGUCCUGGAGGGCAGGGCCGCACCUCACAUGCAUGUUGCCCACAUAGCUCAGCAACAGAUGCUCUCACGCUUGUUAAAAGUAAAACCGGGCCAGGCGCAGUGGCUCACGCCUGUAAUCCCAGCACUUUGGGAGGCCGAGGUGGGUGGAUCACCUGAAGUCAGGAGUUUGAGACUAGCCUGACCAACAUGGAGAAAUCCCGUCUCUACUAAAAAUACAAAAAAUUAGCUGGGCGUGGUGGCACAUGCCUGUAAUCCCAGCUACUCGGAGGCAGGAGAAUUGCUUGAACCCAGGAGGCGGAGGUUGCGGUGAGCCAAGAUCACGCCAUAGCAAUUGCACUCCGGCCUGGGCAACAAGAGCAAAACUCUGUCAAAAAGAAAAAAAAAAAAAAAAAAAAGUAAAACCAAUUAGCCAAUGUAAAGGAGUUUAACUGAGCAAAGAGUGAUUCACAAAUCAGGCAGCCUCCCGACCCAGAGUGGACUCAGAGACUCCAGCACAGCCAUGUGGUGGAAGAAAAUUUAAGACCGAAAAAGGAAAGAGAUGUACAGAAAAUGGAAAUGAGUGCCACCGGGGACAACCAAAUCUGAUCAGAGGCCGCCUGUUUCUGCCUGUGGGUCCUCUACCCAGCUGCAAGAGUGGUUUCUAUACUGAUGUGGACCCCAGCCUGCCUGCUGUGAAGCUGCCUUCAGCACAGAAGGGGAGGUUGGGGCUGGCCUCUGAGGAGUGACCUGGCCGAGCCCACUGUCCACCAAGGCCUCAAUGCCUUCCCUGCCACGUAGGGUCCCCGUUUCUGCCUGGCGGCAUGAGGCUGUGCCGGGCCUGUCAUCGCAGAUCGUGGGCAAGAGCUGCCUCAGGGUGGAAGAGACUGCACAGAGCUGUCCCUGAGUGGCCUCUGGCUAGGACAGGACCUGCAAGGGGAACAGCCUCACUUCCUUCUCCCUGACCAUUCCGUCCAUACUCAAAGCCGACUCCCUUCCUCCCUCUCCAACCCACUAUGUGCUGUGGAUGGGCUGUGGCUUCACUGGGCACCCCCAUCUGCUGCCUCUAUUGUUCCCCAUCCCCAGCCAAGUGGGUCUUGUUUUCCUUCACUGCAGGCAGAACUCGAGCCUGUGCUGUGCCCUGAUGAGUGGCUCCCCUUCUUCCUGGGCCGUUCCAUGGGUGUGCCUUUGCCACGCUCAACCUUCCCACCCCGACGCAACAUUGAUCCCCAAGUCAGGGUGGGCUCGGGACCCCUCAACUUUCCCCUGUGCCCCUGUGCAUUUCAUGGGCAAAUCAAACCUUUUCAAACUCUCGCCUCCACAGGUCCCCAGGGGUGGACACUCCAAGGUCCCCGUUGCUCCUGUCCUCUGCCAGCCGCCUCACCGCCUAAAUCAGUGGCCCAGCCCAGGCCAUUACCACAAGGCUAGCUGGCCUCGAUGUCAGCACCUACCUUUCUGAGGGCGACUUUCUGAGGCUCCAGGCCCCAGCAGGUGGGAUUUCUCUUUCCAUCCGCACCCCGACGGCAUCGUGCUGGCUGUUCAGUGUGGCGGCCGCAGCUGGUGUCCAGCUACAGCCCACGGAGCCAGGGACAAACCUGGGUUUAGUCAGGAUGCCGGUGGGGUUGCCUCGCCUCUGUGCGUGGAGAAGUUACUGCCAGUGUCCCGAUGCGGGAAUCCUUCCAGGAAUGCUCUCACCUGUAAAAAUGUAGAAGUUCAAUAACAAAAUAUGAAACUGCAGGAAAUGGGUUUGAGAUACCUAUACGAUAAAAACAGAUUUAUGUAAAACUUAUUAGAGGAAAAGCUGAAUUAGCUUUCUCUUCUCUUAAUAGAAAAUGAUAUAUCAGCAGGGUGCAUUGGCUCACGCCUGUAAUCCCAGCACUUUGGGAGGCUGAGGCGGGCGGAUCACUUGAGGUCAGGAGUUUGAGACCAGCCUGGCCAACAUGGUGAAAUCCCGUCUCCACUAAAAAUACAAAAAUUAGCUGGGCAUGGUGGCUUUUGCCUGUAAUUCCAGCUACUCGGGAGGCUGAGGCAGGAGACUCACUUGAACCUGGGAGGCGGAAGUUGCAGUGAGACGAGAUUGUGCCACUGCACUCCAGCCUGGGCGAGAGAGCAAGAAUCCAUCUGAAAAAAAAAAAGAAAUGAUAUAUCAAAAUUGUCACACAUAAAAGCAGUCAAAGGUGUGAGAAAGUGUAGAAAAAGAGCUGGAGAAAUGAGGCAGUGUCAGGCAGGUGACUGAAAACACUGAUUUUGGAUUCUGUGAUGUCUGUGGCUUUGCCCGAUUUUUCAAGUAUGUAAUUUGCUUCCAUCUCCCUUCUCCUUUCGAAUGUGCGUGGAGGGACUCCUUUUCUUGAAUAACUCCCCCCCACCAACCAAUCCCAUUAUAAAACCACCAGGCUUCGCAAGGCCUAGUUCUGCCCCCAUCUUUAUCUCACUUUAGAAGACUUCCCCUGCUCUUGGCUUGAACAAUGACGUCUUUUUCUGGGCUCACAAAUCUAUUUCUGGAAUAAACUUCUCCCUGGUGAUUUGUCCUUUAUUUCCCACUUUCUAGGUUCUCAUUCUAAUAAUUUAAUAGGGUUAUGUUGAUGGUUAAUGGUGACAUUUGGCCACGGAGGAAUACUGAUAUUUUAAACAGAGAUUCAGCAACAUUCAUAGAAUAUUUUACCCAACAAAUUUGGAAGCAUCUUCACAAACAUUAGCUUUGAGAAAUGUUUUCUAAAUUUGAUUCUUAGCCAAGUGGUGGAAGGUAGAGGUAGCUUCGGGUGAUCCUUAGAAAAAGGUAUUUCUGGAGGCUGAGGACAGAAGGGCCUUAUUCAAAUGAUUGUUCUGAUCUAAAGCCAGAUACAAAAGCCAGUGUAGGAAAGAAAGGGAACUGCCAAGAAUGUGUCUGAUACUUUCAGACAAUCUCUAUGCAUUUGGGGUCUGGAGAAAAGGAAAGAAAGACACCUUUACAAGAGUCAAACCUAAAAGGGGGACACUAAUCCCACAGUUGCCAGCUCCCCCUGGCAGCACCUGUAGCCUCUUUAGUGUCUGGGACAACAGGCCGGCACUGGCCUUGGGUCGGCUGAGGAUGGCUGAGAACAAAGGCUCCCACCUCUGCUUGGAGCCCUUGGUGGCUCGUGAAGCUCUUCACGUGGUGCCUGGUGACCAACCCUGGGACCCCAGGCAACUUCAUGCCAACCACAGGCCACAGUGAUACAUGGAAGGACGCUCUAGCACCUUUAGGCCACGCCAAUGGAAGGAGGGGUCCUCCCGCACCUGCAGACCACGCUGAUGGAUGAAGGGGUUCUCCCAUACCUGCAGACCACCCUGAUGGAUGGAGGGGUCCUCCCGCACCUGCAGACCACCCUGAUGGAUGGAGGGGUUCUCCCGCACCUGCAGACCACCCUGAUGGAUGGAGGGGUCCUCCCGCACCUGCAGACCACACUGAUGGAUGGAGGGGUUCUCCGGCACCUGCAGACCACGCUGAUGCAUGGAGGCGUUCUCCCGCACCUGCAGACCACGCUGAUGGAUGGAGGGGUUCUCCCGCACCUGCAGACCACGCUGAUGGAUGGAGGGGUUCUCCUGCACCUGCAGACCAUGCUGAUGGAUGGAGGGGUUCUCCCCCACCUGCAGACCACGCUGAUGGAUGGAGAGGUUCUCCCGCACCUGCAGACCACCCUGAUGGAUGGAGGGGUCCUCCUCCACCUGCAGGCCAUGCUGAUGGAUGGAGGGGUCCUCCUGCACCUGCAGGCCAUGCUCUGUGUGUGUGUGUGUGUUUUAACUUUGUUGUUUUUGUAAAUGGACAAUGUGUAAUUGUCUAUAUUUACGGAGUACAAAACAAUGAUACAAUUAAUACAAUGUGGAAUAAUUCAAUGAAGCUAAUUAGCACAUCCCUCACCUCAAAUACUUAACACUUUUUUGUGGUGAGAACAUCUGAAGUUUAUUCUCUUUCUCUUUUUUUCUUGAUUUUUUAAAAAAGUUUUUAUUUCAAUAGGUUUCUGGGAAACAGGUGGUGUUUGGUUACAUGGAUAAGUUCUUUGGUGGUGAUUUCUGAGAUUUCGAUGCACCCAUCACCCGAGCAGUGUACACUGUAUCCAAUGUGUAGUCUUUUAUCCCUCAUCCCCCUCCCACGCUUCCCCCCUUGUCCCCAAAGUCCAUUGUAUCAUUCUUAUACUUUUGCGUCUUCAUAGCUUAGAUCCCA
rnacentral:lncRNA from 1 species